AUAUGUAUAAUUUUGUUUCUUUUUGCAAAAUAGUACUUGAGGGUUGAAAAGAUUUUCAGUGUAUUUCUCAUUCUUUAAAAAUUCCAUAAAAACUUAAGCUGGAAUUAUCCUUGGAAAUGAAUUGUAUUGACAGAUUAAUGUGGGAAGAAUUGACGUCUUUAUAACAUUAAGCUUUCCAAUUUAAAAUAUGGUGUGUCUAGACCUUCUUCUAUGUCAUUCGGUAGAUUUUUUUUUUUUUUAAAUUUUGAGAUGGUAAUUCUUUGAUAAGAAUGAAAGGUACACACCGUUUGGGUUUUGAUAGCUGGAAUUUUGAAGCCCAUGCAGAGCACGUCCCUGGAGAUAUCCAGGAGACCCUGAGAACUUGGGGUUUGAGCUCCAAGGGUAGAUUUCCUGCGAACCACUCCAGUCUCAUCUUCCACUGUGACUUAGGAUGAAGUACUUAGCUUUCUCAGCUACAGGUUUCUGAUCUGGAGUCUGAACUGGACUCCCACGCCAUGAUUGCCUGCAGCCUUUGUUCUACCUGCCUGACUUCUGUCUGCUCUGAUACCCACAGGAAGUAAUAUCUUCUCAAAUCUCCCUCAGAAGAGUAAUUAAACUGAAUGAGCUGUGUCCCCAUCUGCCUCUGCAGCCCUGCGUGGUGGGCCAGCCUCGCGUCUGCAGCAUUCCCUGCUGUGGGAGACCCUGCCCAGGACCAGGGAUGCCACUGGAAAUGAAGGUGUUACUUCUGCAGUUAACUGAUGUACCUGCAGUUAAUUUCCCUGCUCAUCCUGAUCUCCAUAAGACAGCCUUGAGGGGUAAGAGAGGGGCAGAGG